rnacentral:rRNA from 1 species
UACGGAGGAUCCGAGCGUUAUCCGGAAUCAUUGGGUUUAAAGGGUCCGUAGGCGGAUAGUUAAGUCAGCGGUGAAAGUCUGCAGCUCAACUGUAGAAUUGCCGUUGAUACUGGUUAUCUUGAAUCAAAUUGAAGUGGCUGGAAUAUGUGGUGUAGCGGUGAAAUGCAUAGAUAUCACAUGGAACACCUAUUGCGAAGGCAAGUCACUAAAUUUGCAUUGACGCUGAUGGACGAAAGCGUGGGGAGCAAACA